UUAACAAUUAAAGGAAAAGAAAAUAACUACAAAAAAAAACAAAACAAAACAACAAGAACAAAAAUGGAGAAAAUGAAAAACAAACACAACACCCUGUAGUGAGCAACAUUAAACAGUUCAAUUGUUGAAUAAUGCUACAAAUAAAAACAACACAAGCAGGAGUACUGAAAUAAUUGGUCACAAUAUUAAAGAAAAAAAUUCGUCAAGAAAAAAAAAAACCUGAAUACAACUCAUGGAGAGGCUGAUAGAACCACAGUUCCUAAUGCAAUAAUACGAAAUCUCAAAGAGCAACUUGCAACAGUUUUUGCCAAUUACUCGUGGGCGUGCGUCAGACGAAGUCCUAAUCAGAGCGGCCUAGAUAGGAAGAAAAAACGAAAGUAAUCAGCAAUGCAAUUAUGAUUCUGUAAUAAUGAUAAUAGUGAAAAAUUUUUUUUAUACAGAA